rnacentral:rRNA from 1 species
GCUUGCUGUUUCGCUGACGAGUGGCGGACGGGUGAGUAAUGUCUGGGAAACUGCCUGAUGGAGGGGGAUAACUACUGGAAACGGUAGCUAAUACCGCAUAACGUCGCAAGACCAAAGAGGGGGACCUUCGGGCCUCUUGCCAUCGGAUGUGCCCAGAUGGGAUUAGCUUGUWGGUGGGGUAACGGCUCACCWAGGCGACGAUCCCUAGCUGGUCUGAGAGGAUGACCAGCCACACUGGAACUGAGACACGGUCCAGACUCCUACGGGAGGCAGCAGUGGGGAAUAUUGCACAAUGGGCGCAAGCCUGAUGCAGCCAUGCCGCGUGUAUGAAGAAGGCCUUCGGGUUGUAAAGUACUUUCAGCGGGGAGGAAGGGAGUAAAGUUAAUACCUUUGCUCAUUGACGUUACCCGCAGAAGAAGCACCGGCUAACUCCGUGCCAGCAGCCGCGGUAAUACGGAGGGUGCAAGCGUUAAUCGGAAUUACUGGGCGUAAAGCGCACGCAGGCGGUUUGUUAAGUCAGAUGUGAAAUCCCCGGGCUCAACCUGGGAACUGCAUCUGAUACUGGCAAGCUUGAGUCUCGUAGAGGGGGGUAGAAUUCCAGGUGUAGCGGUGAAAUGCGUAGAGAUCUGGAGGAAUACCGGUGGCGAAGGCGGCCCCCUGGACGAAGACUGACGCUCAGGUGCGAAAGCGUGGGGAGCAAACAGGAUUAGAUACCCUGGUAGUCCACGCCGUAAACGAUGUCGACUUGGAGGUUGUGCCCUUGAGGCGUGGCUUCCGGAGCUAACGCGUUAAGUCGACCGCCUGGGGAGUACGGCCGCAAGGUUAAAACUCAAAUGAAUUGACGGGGGCCCGCACAAGCGGUGGAGCAUGUGGUUUAAUUCGAUGCAACGCGAAGAACCUUACCUGGUCUUGACAUCCACGGAAGUUUUCAGAGAUGAGAAUGUGCCUUCGGGAACCGUGAGACAGGUGCUGCAUGGCUGUCGUCAGCUCGUGUUGUGAAAUGUUGGGUUAAGUCCCGCAACGAGCGCAACCCUUAUCCUUUGUUGCCAGCGGUCCGGCCGGGAACUCAAAGGAGACUGCCAGUGAUAAACUGGAGGAAAGGUGGGGAUGA